GUUUUUUUGGUUUAGUCGGAUAAUUUUUUGUUUGCAUUUUUAGGGGUCGUGGGUUCGAACCCCAUCCAGGGACA